rnacentral:rRNA from 1 species
UACGAAGGGGGCUAGCGUUGCUCGGAAUGACUGGGCGUAAAGGGCGCGUAGGCGGAUGGCACAGUCAGAUGUGAAAUUCCCGGGCUUAACCUGGGGGCUGCAUUUGAUACGUGUUGUCUAGAGUGAGGAAGAGGGUUGUGGAAUUCCCGGUGUAGUGGUGAAAUGCGUAGAUAUCGGGAGGAACACCAGUGGCGAAGGCGACUACCUGGCCUGUUCUUGACGCUGAGGCGCGAAAGCUAGGGGAGCAAACGGG